rnacentral:rRNA from 1 species
UAAACGGACCAUCGAGUAUCCAUUGGAGGGCAAGUCUGGUGCCAGCAGCUGCGGUAAUACCAGCUCCAAUAGCGUAUAUUAAAGUUGUUGCAGUUAAAAAGCUCGUAGUUGGACUUGUGUGCGCUGUCCGCGGGUGGCCUGCGCCCAAAAGGGCGUUUCGGUUCGGCCCCGGUGGCGCCUUGAAAUCUGCAGCUGGGGGGACGUUGGCCUUAACUGGUCGGCGACCGCACGCCGGCUGCUCGGUUACUGUGAGAAAAUUAGAGUGUUCAAGGCAGGCAUUGGGUGCAAUUGAAUACAUUAGCAUGGAAUAAUAAAAUAUGGCUCCUGCCGUAUUUUGUUGGUUUUGACUGGUGGGAGUAAUGAUUGAUAGGGACGGUUGGGGGUGCUAGUAUUGAGCGGCCAGAGGUGAAAUUCAUGGAUUCGCUCAAGACUAACUUAUGCGAAAGCAUUCACCAAGGACGUCCUCUUUAAUCAAGAACGAAAGUUGGGGGAUCGAAGACGAUCAGAUACCGUCGUAGUCUCAACCAUAAACUAUGUCGACUUGGGAUCGGCGGUAGUUUUUUCAUUAAGACACUGUCGGGACCACGGGAGAAAUCAAAGUGUCUGGACUCUGGGGGAAGUAUGGUCGCAAGGCUGAAACUUGAAGGAAUUGACGGAAGGGCACCACCGGGAGUGGAGCCUGCGGCUUAAUUUGACCCAACACGGGGAAACUUACCAGGUCCAGAGAUGUAGAGGAUUGACAGAUUGGAGCUCUUUCUUGAUCACUUCGGUGGUGGUGCAUGGCCGUUCUUAGUUGGUGGAGUGAUUUGUCUGGUUAAUUCCGUUAACGAACGAGACCUCAGCCUGCUAGUGUAGUCGGCUGGAUUGCCUUUGGCGAUCCGUGAUUUCGACUUCUUAGAGGGACAAUCGACGCGCAGUCGAUGGAAGUUUGAGGCAAUAACAGGUCUGUGAUGCCCUUAGAUGUUCUGGGCCGCACGCGCGCUACACUGCUGGGCUCAGCGAGUUUUACUUGGCCGAGAGGCCCGGUUAAUCUUGUGAAAUCCCAGCGUUCUUGGGCUCGCCUCCUGCAACUGGAGGCGCCAACGAGGAAUUCCUAGUAGACGCAGGUCAUCAACCUGCAUCGAUUACGUCCCUGCCCUUUGUACACACCGCCCGUCGUUCCAUAAGAGUGAGGCAUCCGGUGAAUUCUCGGGAGAGCCUGGGCGUGGCCAGCAAUGGUCUGCUCGGGUUUGAACUUGCAUAAACUUGGUGCCUAUGAUUAGGG